AUCUCCUAAGUAAUAUUUACUUAUUGUUCGCCAUCUAAUCAAAUCACACCAACAAAUGAACAACUCAAGUAAAAUAUACUCAGUACAGCAAGAUAAUUGAUGCGCAUGCGUAUUUGACUUCGAGUCUGAAGUGGCGCGGACAGAGGAAAGGAAGGGAGACUUCAGGACGGCUAAUUUGAAUUUUACCACGAUAUUUCACCCACUAUUCAAGCUAAUGCAAGAUAAAAAAUGAUUUCAGAAGAAUCACCACAAUUUCCUUGGAGCGUACAUUCUUGUAAAAGCUGGACUUCUAUACCCCAAAACUCCUGGCUUUGUUUGAGAUGAGGG